AUGGCUGACUUGGCACGAGGUUGCUGGACCAGCCUAGCCCUGCUGCUGUCCUUGCAGAGUGAGCCUGGCCAUCCCAAAUCCCAAUCCUAACUAAACAAAACAAAACAAAACAAAACAAACAAACAAACAAACAAAAAACAAACAGAAAAGAUGACCAAGGGAUCAGACACGAGGUAAGAAAUGUGGCAAAGGCCAUAAAGUAUAAAGGCAGAGAGAAACUUGGCCGAAAUUGUGCUUUGAGGGAGGGCAGACUACAUUUUACAUCCAAAUCCCAAGUAUGGAUUUAAUGAAGGACAAUUUCAGGCACCAGUAUCACCCUGUGAUUCUCAGGAGACUACAGUAGAUCAUAAUUUUAAGUCAAGUUAAUCCAACUGUACCUAUUGACUUAAUCCAUUUUGUGAGUGGGAAAGGUGUGACCAUCCAACCACUUAAAGGGGAUUAUGGAGUCCAGCUUUUUCAAGAUGGUGCUGAUCCUUUUCAAGCACAAGUUAAUUUGAGGUGUAGUUAGCUUCAGAAUUAGCCAUUGCUGCGAAUGGGGAAAACAAAUGGUGGUGGUGUUACUACUGCCUUCUAUGACCCAAGGCGUCUAGAAAUUCUGUGCAAGCUUGUCCCAUUCCUUCUGUGAGGACAACCCAUUCCAAAAAGAAUGCUCCCUCCUGAGGUGUUCCUGCCAUAUUUUACUGAUGCAAAAAACAGAGGGUACCUGGCUACCCUGCCAAGUUUCCUGAAGUAAGGUUUGAUCACGCCACGAAGUAUGACUACUUUGUUCUUGAGAUCACAAAAGAUGAACUAACUCUUCAGAAUGCUCAGCACUUGGAAUGAUCCAAGGCAGACUUUCUUUGGUCUUGCUCCUGGCUGGAUGGUGAAUAUGGCCAAUAUGAAAAUUAUAAAACCUUCACAACCACAGUUGAGAAUUAUCUCAAAUAUUACAGCUCC
rnacentral:lncRNA from 1 species